UGCAUAGCUCAGUCGGUAGAGCGUGAGGCUCAUGAUCUCAGGGUUGUGGGUUUAAGCCCUACAUUGGGCAAAA